rnacentral:rRNA from 1 species
CCUCUAGACGACGCUGGCGGCGUGCCUAAUACAUGCAAGUCGAGCGAAUGAUGAAGAAGCUUGCUUCUUCUGAUUUAGCGGCGGACGGGUGAGUAACACGUGGGCAACCUACCUAGUAGAUUGGGAUAACUCCGGGAAACCGGGGCUAAUACCGAAUAAUUCAUUUCACCUCAUGGUGAGAUGCUGAAAGGCGGUUUCGGCUGUCACUACUAGAUGGGCCCGCGGUGCAUUAGCUAGUUGGUGGGGUAAUGGCCUACCAAGGCAACGAUGCAUAGCCGACCUGAGAGGGUGAUCGGCCACAUUGGGACUGAGACACGGCCCAAACUCCUACGGGAGGCAGCAGUAGGGAAUCUUCCACAAUGGACGAAAGUCUGAUGGAGCAACGCCGCGUGAGUGAUGAAGGUUUUCGGAUCGUAAAACUCUGUUGUAAGGGAAGAACAAGUACGUUAGUAACUGAACGUACCUUGACGGUACCUUAUUAGAAAGCCACGGCUAACUACGUGCCAGCAGCCGCGGUAAUACGUAGGUGGCAAGCGUUGUCCGGAUUUAUUGGGCGUAAAGCGCGCGCAGGUGGUUUCUUAAGUCUGAUGUGAAAGCCCACGGCUCAACCGUGGAGGGUCAUUGGAAACUGGGAGACUUGAGUGCAGAAGAGGAAAGUGGAAUUCCAAGUGUAGCGGUGAAAUGCGUAGAGAUUUGGAGGAACACCAGUGGCGAAGGCGACUUUCUGGUCUGUAACUGACACUGAGGCGCGAAAGCGUGGGGAGCAAACAGGAUUAGAUACCCUGGUAGUCCACGCCGUAAACGAUGAGUGCUAAGUGUUAGGGGGUUUCCGCCCCUUAGUGCUGCAGCUAACGCAUAAGCACUCCGC